GGUUUCGUAGUUCAGUCGGGAGAAUGUCAGAUUCAUAACCUGAAGGUCGCGAGUUCGAUCCUCGCCGAAACCA